rnacentral:rRNA from 1 species
ACACUUUACAAUGCGGGAAACCGCGAUAAGGGAACCCCGAGUGCCAGCAUCAAAUGUUGGCUGUCCAGAUGAUUAAAAAUCAUUUGUUAGCAAGGGCCGGGCAAGACCGGUGCCAGCCGCCGCGGUAACACCGGCGGCCCGAGUGGUAGCCGUUUUUAUUGGGUCUAAAGGGUCCGUAGCCGGCCUGAUAAGUCCUUUGGGAAAUCUGGCAGCUUAACUGUCAGGCUUCUAAGGGAUACUGUCAGGCUUGGGACCGGAAGAGGUAAGGGGUACUCCAGGGGUAGGAGUGAAAUCUUGUAAUCCCUGGGGGACCAUCUGUGGCGAAGGCGCCUUACCAGAACGGGUCCGACGGUGAGGGACGAAAGCUAGGGGAGCAAACCGGAUUAGAUACCCGGGUAGUCCUAGCUGUAARCGAUGCUCGCUAGGUGUCAGACACGGUGCGACCGUGUUUGGUGCCGCAGGGAAGCCGUUAAGCGAGCCACCUGGAAGUACGUCGCAAGGC